rnacentral:rRNA from 1 species
AAUCAACGCUGGCGGCGUGCCUCAGACAUGCAAGUCGAACGAUUAAAGCUCCCUUCGGUGAGUGCAUAAAGUGGCGCACGGGUGAGUAACACGUAAGUAAUCUACCCUCGAGUGGGGAAUAACGUCCGGAAACGUACGCUAAUACCGCAUCAUGCAGCGGCACCGCAAGGUGCAAGUGGUUAAAGAUUUAUCGAUUGAGGAGGGGCUUGCGGCAGAUUCGCGUGUGGGUAAGGUAAUGGCUUACCAAGGCAACGAUCUGUAGCCGGUCUAAGAGGACGGGCGGUCACACUGACACUGAAUAACGGGUCAGACUCCUACGGGAGGCAGCAGUCGGGAAUUUUGGGCAAUGGGGGAAGCCCUGACCCAGCAACGCCGCGUGAAGGAUGAAGUAUUUCGGUAUGUAAACCUCUUUCAGCAGGGACGAAGCGAAAGUGACGGUACCUGCAGAAGAAGGACCGGCCAACUACUUGCCAGCAGCCGCCGUAAUAC